AUAACAGAUAAAAACAUAUAAUUAAAACAUCUCACCUUUUCGUAUUUUUAUUCCAAAUUACAAAACAUUGCAGAAUUGUGUAAAUCCCAACUUGAAGCACAAAAAACGUGCGAGGUCAUCGACCAGUGACCGCAUUUAGUUUCUGGAACAUUUAAGAUAGUAUACAAAAACUCAUUCCGAAAUAAAUAGUGAUAAAUUCCGUAAUAUAUUGACGAACUUUUGUGAUAACGUGUGUAAUGUUACAUGAAUAUAUAGUAUUUUAUAUAGAAAAAAAUAAACAUAUUUUGUAGUAGACUAUUUAAAACAGCUAUUUGUAAUAGCAAUUUAUUUAUUUAGAUAUUGAUAGAAUUUUUUUUUUUUGUUAAUUCUACUGAAUAUUCUCCCUGGAUAUUCGGUGGCACUAUUAACAGGGAUACUUGAUGGAAUGCUGUACAUCAAGUGUUAUUGUUAACAGCAAGUUGUGCAAUAAAGUAUCAAUUUGA